rnacentral:rRNA from 1 species
UACGUAGGGUGCAAGCGUUAAUCGGAAUUACUGGGCGUAAAGCGUGCGCAGGCGGUUAUGUAAGACAGAUGUGAAAUGCCCGGGCUUAACCUGGAACUGCAUUUGUGACUGCAUGGCUAGAGUUUGGCAGAGGGGGGUAGAAUUCCACGUGAUAGCAGUGAAAUGCGUAGAUAUGUGGAGGAACACCGAUGGCGAAGGCAGCCCCCUGGGUCAAGACUGACGCUCAUGC